rnacentral:rRNA from 1 species
CCUANGGGGGGCAGCAGUGGGGAAUAUUGGACAAUGGGGGCAACCCUGAUCCAGCCAUGCCGCGUGAGUGAUGAAGGCCUUCGGGUUGUAAAGCUCUUUUGGCGGGGACGAUGAUGACGGUACCCGCAGAAUAAGCUCCGGCUAACUUCGUGCCAGCAGCCGCGGUAAUACGAAGGGAGCUAGCGUUGUUCGGAAUUACUGGGCGUAAAGGGCGCGUAGGCGGCUCUUUUAGUCAGGCGUGAAAGCCCCGGGCUCAACCUGGGAACAGCGCUUGAUACUGGAGAGCUUGAGUGCGGGAGAGGAUGGUGGAAUUCCCAGUGUAGAGGUGAAAUUCGUAGAUAUUGGGAAGAACACCGGUGGCGAAGGCGGCCAUCUGGACCGCAACUGACGCUGAGGCGCGAAAGCGUGGGGAGCAAACAGGAUUAGAUACCCCANUANUC